rnacentral:tRNA from 1 species
GCCCCGGUAGCUCAGCUGGACAGAGCAGCGGUUUCCUAAACCGCAGGUCGUAGGUUCGAUCCCUAUCCGGGGUACCA